CCUACGGUAGGCAGUAGUGAGGAAUAUUGGUCAAUGGACGCAAGUCUGAACCAGCCAUGCCGCGUGCAGGAAGACGGCUCUAUGAGUUGUAAACUGCUUUUGUACGAGGGUAAACGCAGAUACGCGUAUCUGUCUGAAAGUAUCGUACGAAUAAGGAUCGGCUAACUCCGUGCCAGCAGCCGCGGUAAUACGGAGGAUUCAAGCGUUAUCCGGAUUUAUUGGGUUUAAAGGGUGCGUAGGCGGUCGGAUAAGUUAGAGGUGAAAUCCCGAGGCUCAACUUCGGAAUUGCCUCUGAUACUGUUCGGCUAGAGAGUAGUUGCGGUAGGCGGAAUGUAUGGUGUAGCGGUGAAAUGCUUAGAGAUCAUACAGAACACCGAUUGCGAAGGCAGCUUACCAAGCUACUACUGACGUUGAGGCACGAAAGCGUGGGGAGCAAACAGGAUUAGAUACCCCUGUAGUC
rnacentral:rRNA from 1 species